rnacentral:rRNA from 1 species
AACGAACGCUGGCGGCAUGCCUAACACAUGCAAGUCGAACGAGACCUUCGGGUCUAGUGGCGCACGGGUGCGUAACGCGUGGGAACCUGCCCUUAGGUUCGGAAUAACUCCCCGAAAGGGGUGCUAAUACCGGAUAAUGUCUUCGGACCAAAGAUUUAUCGCCUUUGGAUGGGCCCGCGUUGGAUUAGCUAGUUGGUAGGGUAAAAGCCUACCAAGGCGACGAUCCAUAGCUGGUCUGAGAGGAUGAUCAGCCACACUGGGACUGAGACACGGCCCAGACUCCUACGGGAGGCAGCAGUGGGGAAUAUUGGACAAUGGGCGAAAGACUGAUCCAGCAAUGCCGCGUGAGUGAUGAAGGCGUUAGGGUUGUAAAGCUCUUUUACCCGGGAUGAUAAUGACAGUACCGGGAGAAUAAGCGCCGGCUAACUACGUG